CGUCCCUGCCCUUUGUACACACCGCC
rnacentral:ncRNA from 7 species